rnacentral:rRNA from 1 species
GACGAACGCUGGCGGCGUGCUUAACACAUGCAAGUCGAACGGAAAGGCCCUGCUUUUGUGGGGUGCUCGAGUGGCGAACGGGUGAGUAACACGUGAGUAACCUGCCCUUGACUUUGGGAUAACUUCAGGAAACUGGGGCUAAUACCGGAUAGGAGCUCCUGCUGCAUGGUGGGGGUUGGAAAGUUUCGGCGGUUGGGGAUGGACUCGCGGCUUAUCGGCUUGUUGGUGGGGUAGUGGCUUACCAAGGCUUUGACGGGUAGCCGGCCUGAGAGGGUGACCGGGGACAAUGGGCCUGAGAUACGGACCAGAAGGGAACGGGAGGCAGCAGUGGAGAAUAUGGCACAAUGGGCGGAAGCCUGAGGCAGAAACGCCGCGUGCGGGAUGACGGCCUUCGGGUUGUAAACCGCUUUCGCCUGUGACGAAGAGUGAGUGACGGUAAUGGGUAAAGAAGCACCGGCUAACUACGUG